AGUGAACGCUGGCGGCGUGCUUAACACAUGCAAGUCGAACGAGAACGGGUUAUAGCUUGCUAUAAUUGUCAGCUAAGUGGCGCACGGGUGAGUAAUGUAUAGGUAAUAUGCCUCUUACUAAGGGAUAACAAAUGGAAACGUUUGCUAAUACCUUAUACUCCUUAUUAACAGAAGUUAAUAAGGGAAAGACUUAUUGGUAAGAGAUUAGCCUGUAUUGUAUCAGUUAGUUGGUGGGGUAAUGGCUUACCAAGACUAUGACACAUAACUGGUUUGAGAGGAUGAUCAGUCACACUGGAACUGAGACACGGUCCAGACUCCUACGGGAGACAGCAGUGGGGAAUAUUGCACAAUGGACGAAAGUCUGAUGCAGCAACGCCGCGUGGAGGAUGACACAUUUCGGUGCGUAAACUCCUUUUAUAUGAGAAGAUAAUGACGGUAUUAUAUGAAUAAGCACCGGCUAACUCCGUGCCAGCAGCCGCAGUAA
rnacentral:rRNA from 1 species